rnacentral:rRNA from 1 species
AGCAGCCGCGGUAAUUCCAGCUCCAAUAGCGUAUAUUAAAGUUGUUGCAGUUAAAAAGCUCGUAGUUGAAUUUCGAGAUCAAAUUGUUGGUCGUGCCUUGGUACGCACUGGCAUUAUUGGUUUCUCCCUUCUGACGAACCAUGAUGUCAUUAAUUUGGUGUCUUGGGGAAUCAGGACUGUUACUUUGAAAAAAUUAGAGUGUUUAAAGCAGGCUCACGCUUGAAUACAUUAGCAUGGAAUAAUGAAAUAGGACGUUUGAUUCUAUUUUGUUGGUUUCUAGGAUCGACGUAAUGAUUAAUAGGGAUAGUUGGGGGCAUUAGUAUUCAAUUGUCAGAGGUGAAAUUCUUGGAUUUAUUGAAGACUAACUACUGCGAAAGCAUUUGCCAAGGAUGUUUUCAUUAAUCAAGAACGAAGGUUAGGGGAUCGAAGACGAUCAGAUACCGUCGUAGUCUUAACCAUAAACUAUGCCGACUAGGGAUCGGAUGAUGUUAAUUUUUUAAUGACUCAUUCGGCGCCUUAC